ensembl:lncRNA
AGCACCUGAAACUUAAAAUAAAAUAAAAAUAAAUUCUUAGGAUCAAGUCCCACCCCAGCGGCUGGCAACUGCAAUUUUGGCAUCCAUUUCAAUGGAGACAAUAUUGUCACCUAUGGAGGUUUCACUCAGAAUAGAACCAGAUUCUGAGGGUGGGGAAGAUCCAAGGAGAGACCAUCAGGAGCAGUUUCCAAGGAGACUACCUCCUUGUGGGCUGAAUCUUCAGCAGGUGCAUAUUAGCUCAUUUCCAGCGAAGUCUGCAGGCAGAAAGACAACUUUUCACAGACCUGUCUUACCACCUACUUCCUGUUUUAUUCUUUCAUGGAUGCAACUUUCCCUGCAGGAAGAAGUGUUUCUGAGGCUGUAUACCAACUUCCAGGGAACCCCAACAUGCACCCACGACAACUUUUCAAAGAGGAGAUGCCUAACACUUCUGAGCCGAGUUCAGAGAUCAGGCAGGGAAGGCUGCGCACAGUUUGUGAUGCUCGCAGGACCUCAAAAUAUCUCUCCCUUCAGACUGACUGCAGACGUAAUAUGCACAGAGCAGGUCUAACUCUGGAGUAAUCACCUGCAGGACCCAGCAAGCCUGAUGUAUAACUCCUGUGGUUGGACACCUCAAUUUGUUUUCCUGACAUUAGUGCAGGAGAGGGGCAUGCUCCUCUCUUUGGAUCAUUACCUGCUUAGUAAUGGCUGGCUGCAAUACUACCAGAGAGGAUAUGAAGCUGCCCAGAUCUUCACAGGGAGCUCAGUGUGAUCUUUGGUGAUGUUCAAAAAGUUCUGUUAACUUUUUAAAAAAUUAUUUUGUUCUUCCCUGGGUGGAAAGUCAGUCGUGCUUCAGUGCGUGUGAAGUGCGAUUCUCCUUUAGUUCUAGUGCCUGGGGGGCUUUUUGAAGUAGUAGGGUCUGAGCUCUCACCAGUUUAUGUCUCCGAAAUCCUGGGUAGUCUCAGUGUGCAGUGUAGUGAUGGUUGUGAAGUGCUCGGAGUCUGUGGGUCUGUUACAGCCUGUCUGAUGCAAUACCUUUGCCACAACCAGCUGGUUGUGGGGGGUGUCCUCUGCAAAACAGUUGAGGAGCAGAUCCAUGAAGCCAGACCAGGCAAGGCACAGGUGCUUUCCUCCCUGAGAAUCCAGGUGACUGCAUAGAUGAGCACUUAUUUUACCAGAGCAGAUGCAAACCUGAGUGCUUUUUAUAUUUCUAUACCUGUAUUAAAAAUAUGUGGCACAAUAGUCAGUAUGACAAGUCAAACACAAAUGGUGGUGAAAAAAGCAUGCUGUAAAAUGGGUGGUCUAUGAAGCCAGUGGCCCAUCUGCUGCUCAUCUGGAACAUCCCUUCUCUCCACCAGAGCGGUGAAUGCUUGGAAAUUGCAACAGUUCACUUGAAGUCAGUUUAGGUAAAACAAUGCAGCUUUUGUGGAUGCACCAUCUUAGAGCAGUUUCCUGUUAGCUGUGUGAUUUCUGCAGUCUGCCAGGGUAAACCUAUGGUCCCACUUUAGGCACAGCUAAAGCAGAUCAAAGAGUUGUUACCACAAGCUGCUUUUCAACAAACUUGACAGGGCAAAAGGAUUUGCAUUAUGGGAUCACGGCAUUUCUGAUCUGAUUAUAAAAUAAAUUUGGCUGUGUCCACA